AAUUGCUGCCCCGCAUGAGAACCUGAGGGUUUCUUCCGCCGCCGCGCCUCCAUCCCUCCACUGCCGCCGUCCCUCCCAGUCUCCCACUCUGCGGCGUCCUUCCUCGAUCAUGGGUCGUCAAAUCAAAUCAAGACGAGAUCGGCAGGAUCCGCCGCACCUCGCGUGAGACCCAGGUGCAGCUGCUCGUGAGAUACAGCCAUCGAUCUCGACGAGUUCCAGAUCGAUCAGAUCCAGGAUGCGGUGGACGACGGUGGCAAGAAGUGGCUAGAUGAAGGUCGCGUGGCCGUGUGCGGGUGGGCAGUCAGCACAAGAGGGGCAGCGCCGAUGCGUAUCUCAUCCUGCAGGGGGACAAGGAGGAUGGGAUGGAGCCUCCUGCAGUCGAGGACGACGAAGGGGAGCAGUGCUGCCCCUCCUCAGUGGAGGACGAUGACAAGGAGAUGACGGUGGCGUGAGAUUCCUCUUGAGACCUGCGGCGGCGACGGCGAAGUGAGGGCACGUGGUGACAGCGGAUCGAAGGCCGCGGCAGCAGAUCGGUGUUAAGAACUUCUGCUGUAGUGGACAUCAAGAUCAUGCAGCAACCACAGGUUUUUCUUUUUGAAGCGCGAUCUACUUGGAUUUGACCUGUCUCUCUGACCUUUGACUUUUCGGUGAAGCGAACAAGUGAAGAACUAUCCUUCCUUUCAUACCUAAAAUGGCCUGGUAGUUUUCCUAAGAAAGUUAUCGUAGCAUGUGAUAGACUAUUAGGUGAUCUCCCAUUAAUAAUGCAAUAGAAUCACUCCUGACUGAUCACCUGAAUCGAUCAUGACUGUUGUCAUUUGCAUCUUAAAUUAUCCGCCUAUGUACAUUCUUUAAUCACUACAUGUUUUUUUUACCAACUUAGAUCAUUUUCCAAGUGACUCUUAGAUGAGAGGAAUAAGAAAUAUAUAAGUUGGUAGUUUUUUAUUUAUUUAAUUUUUGAGAGAAAAAUAUAUGGUAGACCAUGUGGACAUAUAUACUCUUAAAAUUAUACGAUGAAUUGAUGUAGGGUCAUACAGCCCAGAACUUUGUUGCACGGUCAUUGGGAAAAGUUAAGUGGUGCCUGAGUGGAUAAAACAAAUGACAAAAUACUACUAUUGCAUGGGAAACAAAUUCAAGUCAUAUCGUCUUCCCAUUUGGUUUUGUCUCUGUAGAUAGACGCAGUGAUAUUAAAGAAAAUGAAAUUCAAAGCUUUUUUGACAUGCUUACAUAGUUCAUCUAAGAUUAGUAAAAAACAUAUGCUUAAC